CCUGCACUUAUUUGACGUUACCUACAGAAGAAGCACCGGCUAACUCCGUGCCAGCAGCCGCGGUAAUACGGAGGGUGCGAGCGUUAAUCGGAAUUACUGGGCGUAAAGCGCAUGCAGGCGGCCUGUUAAGUCAGAUGUGAAAGCCCGGGGCUUAACCUCGGAAUUGCAUUUGAAACUGGCAGGCUAGAGUCUUGUAGAGGGGGGUAGGAAUUUCAGGUGUAGCGGUGAAAAUAGCGUAGAGAUCUGAAGGAAUACCAGUGGCGAAGGCGGCCCCCUGGACAAAGACUGACGCUCAGAUGCGAAAGCGUGGGGACGCAAACAGGAUUAGAUACCCCUGGUAG
rnacentral:rRNA from 1 species